UACGAAGGGAGCUAGCGUUGUUCGGAAUUACUGGGCGUAAAGGGCGCGUAGGCGGAUUGGCAAGUUGGGUGUGAAAGCCCAGGGCUCAACCCUGGAAUAGCACUCAAAACUGCCUUUCUUGAAUUCGGUAGAGGUUGGUAGAAUUCCCAGUGUAGAGGUGAAAUUCGUAGAGAUUGGGAAGAAUACCCGUGGCGAAGGCGGCCAACUGGACCGACAUUGACGCUGAGGCGCGAAAGCGUGGGGAUCAAACAGG
rnacentral:rRNA from 1 species